AAUAUGUUCUGAAAUAAAUUAAAUAUACAAUCGUUAAAUGCUACUCAAGUGCAAUAUAAAAAUGAAAAUGUUGUUUUGAUACUAAAUAUUGCAAAAACUGAAUCUUUCAAUAAUCAUGAGUGUUUUGUAUUUUUCACUUGCUAUAAGUUGGUUUGUGUUGAUUUAUGAUUAACAACAGAAAAUGCAUUACUUCAACAAGUGUUAGUUUUUUACACAGUUAUAUAAUCUCCUAUGAAAUGGUUUAUCUAAAUCUUAUUCCUUGCAGGAUGCCUGUUAAAAAGAAAAACUGAAGAAACUUUAAAACUAGAUGAUGCCAACUAAAGAAAUUGAAACACCGUUAUUCAUGUUGUCAUAUCGAGACUUCAG
rnacentral:lncRNA from 1 species